GAGCAAGAAAUUCAUGUGAAGUAAGCCAAGGAGCGACUGCCUAGUGAACCAAACAAGACGUUACUUUCCAACACCUUGAGGUGUGAUUAGGCAAGUCAUCCUUGGCUACCAAACAAGAACUCUUCCC
rfam:Helianthus annuus linkage group 1, whole genome shotgun sequence.